rnacentral:rRNA from 1 species
GACGAACGCUGGCGGCGUGCUUAACACAUGCAAGUCGAACGGUAAGGCCCUUCGGGGUACGACGAGUGGCGAACGGGUGAGUAACACGUGGGUGAUCUGCCCUGCACUUUGGGAUAAGCCUGGGAAACUGGGUCUAAUACCGGAUAGGACCACGGUCUGCAUGGAUUGUGGUGGAAAGCUUUUGCGGUGUGGGAUGGGCCCGCGGCCUAUCAGCUUGUUGGUGGGGUGAUGGCCUACCAAGGCGACGACGGGUAGCCGGCCUGAGAGGGUGACCGGCCACACUGGGACUGAGAUACGGCCCAGACUCCUACGGGAGGCAGCAGUGGGGAAUAUUGCACAAUGGGCGCAAGCCUGAUGCAGCGACGCCGCGUGGGGGAGUGACGGCCUCGUUGUAACGUACUUCUACUAGG